GAAUCAUUAAAGCUAGAGGAAACCUUAGACCAGACAGCGCCGAUGAGGAAACUGAGGCUUGGCAAGGAGAGUCCGCAUCUCCAGGCCUCAUGGCUUGCUGGGCCAGAGCUGGGAUUUGAGCCCAGCUAUCCUGACCUCUAGGUCAAGGUUUAUGGCUUCUGAGAAGCAAGCAGAGGCAGCCAGUUCUCAGCAACAGACACAAUAAUUAUAAAAGCACUUGCAAUGAUUAAUCAGCCGGAGAGUAAUCUGGGCAAGAGGGAUUUUCUUCCAUCAUAUCAGUGAAGACAUUGAGGCCCCGACGGACCAGGUGAUUGAGCACAGAGACAGAAGAGAAAAGAUCCAUUCUGGAGCUCAGCAGUGGCUAAAGGGACCCAAAUGGCUACAGAAGACCUCGGGUCAGUCCAGAAGACCUCUGGAGAACAUUUCAGCAGGAGAGCUCUGAGCAGGUGCCGGGUUUGCACCCUGCCUUCUCUGACAUUUCCUCUGCCACCAGCCAGGGCUUGAAGUUCUGGUUCUAGGAAGGAGAUUAUAACCCCACGGACCCUCACUCUCCACUUGCAAUAACUCAGCAAUAACAAUACA